UGUUAAACUUAAAACCUGUUUAUGUUUUUUCGGUGAUAAUUCAGAAGGAUAACCUUCAGUAAGUAUACCUUAAAUUAUUUUAAACGAAAAAAUGUAUUUAUGUGUUGGUAUACCUAGUCGUUUUACAUAUUACACUAUACGGUUCGUCUGAAUGAGAAUUAUUUCCAUUAGUAAAACUUGUUUAUUAUUCAUUAUCGCUGCAUUACACAAUUAUAUUGUUCAGUGUACCAACAAUGUUUGGAGUUGUAAGACGUAGUUGACAUUUUUCGUUGUCUGUGAACUGUUGUUUAUAAUUAACAUUCUAGUUUAUUGAAGCAGUUUUCGAAGUUUUAAUUUUAUAAGUUGUUUAUAAUUUUAACUAUACACUGAUGUUUAAAUAACGUAAGUGAAAAAAUUAACCCAAAACUCAUAAUCAUAAUGGAUAAAUACACCCUCAGAAGUCUUAGAGAUGUAAGCCUAUAUUAUAAUAAUAUAAUUAUUUACGACACGUAUUGUCACUUAAAAGAGCGUUGAACAUCAUCACUGGGCACACUACUCUGUAUAUUAUACAGUGAGUGUAAUGUUAUUUCGUGUCUUAAAGUACUCCGGCGGGAGCUGUUCCGUGCGUUUAUUACAAGUGUACGACAAAUUUAUCUA